rnacentral:rRNA from 1 species
AUUGAACGCUGGCGGCAUGCCUUACACAUGCAAGUCGAACGGCAGCACGGGGCAACCUGGUGGCGAGUGGCGAACGGGUGAGUAAUGCAUCGGAACGCACCCGGAAGUGGGGGAUAACGUAGCGAAAGUUACGCUAAUACCGCAUAUUCUGUGCGCAGGAAAGAGGGGGAUCUUCGGACCUCUUGCUUUCGGAGCGGCCGAUGUCAGAUUAGCUAGUUGGUGAGGUAAAGGCUCACCAAGGCGACGAUCUGUAGCGGGUCUGAGAGGAUGAUCCGCCACACUGGGACUGAGACACGGCCCAGACUCCUACGGGAGGCAGCAGUGGGGAAUUUUGGACAAUGGGCGCAAGCCUGAUCCAGCCAUGCCGCGUGAGUGAAGAAGGCCUUCGGGUUGUAAAGCUCUUUCGGCCGGGAAGAAAUCGCGUGAGUUAAUACCUUGCGUGGAUGACGGUACCGGAAUAAGAAGCACCGGCUAACUACGUGCCAGCCGCCGCCGUAAAAC